GGCCCCAUCGUCUAGCCUGGCCCAGGACGCUUGGUUCUCAGCCAAGAAACAGGGGUUCGAAUCCCCUUGGGGCUG
rnacentral:tRNA from 4 species